UGGGGAAUAUUGCACAAUGGGGGAAACCCUGAUGCAGCGACGCCGCGUGAGUGAAGAAGUAAUUCGUUACGUAAAGCUCUAUCAGCAGGGAAGAGAAUGACGGUACCUGAGUAAGAAGCCCCGGCUAACUACGUGCC
rnacentral:rRNA from 1 species